AUUGAACGCUGGCGGCAGGCCUAACACAUGCAAGUCGAGCGGGGUUUUCGGACCUAGCGGCGGACGGGGGAGUAAUGCGUAGGAAGCUGCCCGAUAGAGGGGGAUACCAGUUGGAAACGACUGUUAAUACCGCAUAAUGUCUACGGACCAAAGUGUGGGACCUUCGGGCCACAUGCUAUCGGAUGCGCCUACGUGGGAUCGGCUGGUUGGUGAGGUAAUGGCUCACCAAGGCGACGAUCUCUAGCUGGUUUGAGAGGAUGAUCAGCCACACUGGAACUGAGACACGGUCCAGACUCCUACGGGAGGCAGCAGUGGGGAAUAUUGGACAAUGGGCGCAAGCCUGAUCCAGCCAUGCCGCGUGUGUGAAGAAGGCCUUCGGGUUGUAAAGCACUUUCAGCGAGGAGGAAGGGUGGUGUGUUAAUAGCACAUCAUUUUGACGUUACUCGCAGAAGAAGCACCGGCUAACUCUGUGCCAGCCGCCGCAGUAAGAC
rnacentral:rRNA from 1 species